rnacentral:rRNA from 1 species
UGGGGAAUAUUGCACAAUGGGGGAAACCCUGAUGCAGCGACGCCGCGUGAACGAAGAAGUAUUUCGGUAUGUAAACUUCUGUCCUUGGGGAAGAUAAUGACGGUACCCUUGGAGGAAGCCCCGGCUAACUACGUGCCAGCAGCCGCGGUAAUACGUAGGGGGCAAGCGUUAUCCGGAAUUAUUGGGCGUAAAGAGUGCGUAGGUGGUAACCUAAGCAGGGGGUGAAAGGCAAAGGCUUAACCAUUGUCAGCCCCCUGAACUGGGCUACUUGAGUGCAGGAGAGGAAAGCGGAAUUCCUAGUGUAGCGGUGAAAUGCGUAGAUAUUAGGAGGAACACCAGUGGCGAAGGCGGCUUUCUGGACUGUUACUGACACUGAGGCACGAAAGUGUGGGGAGCAAACAGGAUUAGAUACCCUGGUAGU